UACGUAGGGUCCAAGCGUUAUCCGGAAUCACUGGGCGUAAAGCGUGCGUAGGUGGCGUGUUAAGUGUGAUGUUAAAUCGUGUGGCUCAACCAUAUCGAUGUGUCGCAUACUGGCAUGCUAGAGGGAAGCAGAGGCAAGUGGAAUUUGUAGUGUAGCAGUGAAAUGCGUAGAUAUUACAAGGAACACCAAUGGCGAAGGCAGCUUGCUGGGCUUCUUCUGACACUGAGGUACGAAAGCGU
rnacentral:rRNA from 1 species